CUUCACUCUUCUAAAUUGUGAGCUUGGACCACUGAAGACUUAGCAGCCAAGAUCAGAUGCAAGCUACUGCAAUGGAUAGAGGAUAACCUGUGUGUUUUGAGAAAGGACUGAAAGGUGCAAGGCCUCACUUAGCAGAAAGAACUUCAUGGUCCUGCAGUCCAUUGUUAUGGCUAGCUCAGAGAUCCAGAGUGAUCCAAGAGGCCAAAUCCUGCCUGCUGAGCUUGAAGUGAAGUUUCAGUGACUUCAACGGAACUACUUGGAAGAGCAACCCAGCAGGAUGAAGUUUAAAAAUCUCUCUUUUGUGUGACUGCUUCCACUUAUUGUACUGAGAAAACAACACAGCCACUUUUGAGAGCUCUUCAUCAAAUAAAGUUCUGAGUUCAGCUUUAGAUUCAAGCUCACCAACUGAA